rnacentral:tRNA from 2 species
GGUCUAUUAGCACAAUGGCUAAUGCGUCCGGUUGUCAGCCGGAAGAAGUAAGUUCAAUUCUUACAUAGACCG